rnacentral:misc_RNA from 1 species
CUGAGUGAGGGCCCUCGCGGUCCGACCUCCAACCCUUUGUCGUCCGACUCUGUUGCCUCGGGGGCGACCCCAGGCCCCUCGGGGCCGGGGGGCUCCCGGUGGUCCACACAACUCUGCAUCUCUGCGUCUGAGUAAACAUUAAAUGAAACA